rnacentral:rRNA from 1 species
UCCUGGCUCAGAUUGAACGCUGGCGGCAUGCUUUACACAUGCAAGUCGAACGGCAGCACGAAAGAGCUUGCUCUUUUGGUGGCGAGUGGCGAACGGGUGAGUAAUACAUUGGAACGUACCGAGUAAUGGGGGAUAACUGUCCGAAAGGAUGGCUAAUACCGCAUACGCUCUGAGGAGGAAAGCGGGGGACCUUCGGGCCUCGCGUUAUUCGAGCGGCCAAUGUCUGAUUAGCUAGUUGGUGGGGUAAAGGCCUACCAAGGCGACGAUCAGUAGUGGGUCUGAGAGGAUGAUCCGCCACACUGGGACUGAGACACGGCCCAGACUCCUACGGGAGGCAGCAGUGGGGAAUUUUGGACAAUGGGCGAAAGCCUGAUCCAGCCAUGCCGCGUGUCUGAAGAAGGCCUUCGGGUUGUAAAGGACUUUUGUCAGGGAAGAAAGGGUUUGGGUUAA